rnacentral:rRNA from 1 species
UACGUAGGGUGCAAGCGUUACUCGGAAUUACUGGGCGUAAAGCGUGCGCAGGCGGUUAUGCAAGUACGAGGUGAAAUCCCCGGGCUCAACCUGGGAACUGCCUUUGUGACUGCAUAGCUAGAGUACGGUAGAGGGGGAUGGAAUUCCGCGUGUAGCAGUGAAAUGCGUAGAUAUGCGGAGGAACACCGAUGGCGAAGGCAAUCCCCUGGACCUGUACUGACGCUCAUGCACGAAAGCGUGGGGAGCAAACAGG